CGGCAGGCUUAACACAUGCAAGUCGAACGGUAGCAGGAGAAAGCUUGCUUUCUUGCUGACGAGUGGCGGACGGGUGAGUAAUGCUUGGGAAUCUGGCUUAUGGAGGGGGAUAACUACGGGAAACUGUAGCUAAUACCGCGUAGUAUCGGAAGAUGAAAGUGCGGGACCGCAAGGCCGCAUGCCAUGAGAUGAGCCCAAGUGGGAUUAGGUAGUUGGUGGGGUAAAGGCCUACCAAGCCUGCGAUCUCUAGCUGGUCUGAGAGGAUGGCCAGCCACACUGGAACUGAGACACGGUCCAGACUCCUACGGGAGGCAGCAGUGGGGAAUAUUGCGCAAUGGGGGGAACCCUGACGCAGCCAUGCCGCGUGAAUGAAGAAGGCCUUCGGGUUGUAAAGUUCUUUCGGUAUUGAGGAAGGAGUGUAUGUUAAUAGCAUACAUUAUUGACGUUAAAUACAGAAGAAGCACCGGCUAACUCCGUGCCAGCAGCCGCGGUAAUACGGAGGGUGCGAGCGUUAAUCGGAAUAACUGGGCGUAAAGGGCACGCAGGCGGUUAUUUAAGUGAGGUGUGAAAGCCCUGGGCUUAACCUGGGAAUUGCAUUUCAGACUGGGUAACUAGAGUACUUUAGGGAGGGGUAGAAUUCCACGUGUAGCGGUGAAAUGCGUAGAGAUGUGGAGGAAUACCGAAGGCGAAGGCAGCCCCUUGGGAAUGUACUGACGCUCAUGUGCGAAAGCGGGGGGAGCAAACAGGAUUAGAUACCCUGGUAGUCCACGCUGUAAACGCUGUCGAUUUGGGGAUUGGGCUUAAAGCUUGGUGCCCGUAGCUAACGUGAUAAAUCGACCGCCUGGGGAGUACGGCCCGCAGGUUAAAACUCAAAUGAAUUGACGGGGGC
rnacentral:rRNA from 1 species